rnacentral:lncRNA from 1 species
CUCAGUUUAGCAGUAUUAUAGCUAUAAUGUAACAUGCCAACACUGGCGAGCAGUACAUUAUUGUCUCUCUGUGGCCUCUAGCUCAUCGAGGCGAGUAAUCAGCUGAUUUGGCUGUAAAUGUAAUGUAUACAUAUGCGCGUAUCGCGCAUAUCUCGGGCCCGCAGUAAGUGGCACUUACGCUGUUGCGGAUUCCUUGCCAUUGUAAGCUGCGACGUAGUAGCUUGACAACUCACAGGUGAGGAUAUCAUAGAUACGAUUUGUGGUUUGAAUUAGUCAGAUAUAGUCAUAUAGAGAAGUUUGAAAGUGUGUAUAUUCAUUAUUGAAUUGUACAAUAAUAUUAAUAAAGGUUUGGAGCACAACCUGGUGUAUAUACUGUAUACAAACUUACAAGGAUCUGUAGUGCUGUACCAGUGGCAACGAGGCUAACAUGCAUCGGCAUGUUUUAGACCCUGGAUUUUGUUACCACGGUCCACAAUUGGCAUGUCUAGGCCGAGUUUAGGCGCUAAUAACAAACCUUAUGAAGCCGGGAAACACGGUAUUUUUUACUAAGUAGAAUCACCGUGCAAUAUUGCAAUGUACAGACAUUUUCUUGACUCUCCCGGUGAGUGCAAUUCAGGCGAGGGAGAUGUCCCUGUAUUAUUGCCAUGUUGGCGCUUUUGGCAUGAAAUGAUAGUGUGUAUCAUCUGCAUAACAUUUGCUAUUUACCUCGAUUUUAAGGUUUACAUAUAUAGUCAUUUAACUUGCGAUGGUAACAUAAAUGUUUUCUCCAUUCAACAGCUCAGUGCAGCUUGUAUAAUAUCGACAUUCUGUCGAUUCGCCGUUCUAAUUUUAUAUGUUUCCCAGUUCAACCGUUUAAUUUUAUGACCGGGUGCGGCAUUUUAGUAAUGCAUCAUGUGUAUUUUUAGUAUUAGUAGCUGCUGUAUUUCAAGCUGUACAUUGUCCGCCGGGUCGGCGUUAUAAAUACCGUUUUUGUGACUAAGUUAGUCUACGGCUUGAGUCUUCCGCAAGGUUGAUCAUUGGCAUUGCCAAAUUGUGCAUUAUCCGCCGAGUCGGCGUUUUGACAAUGCAAUAUGCCGUUUUGGCGACUAAGUUAGUCUACGGCUUGAUUCUUCCGCAAGGUUGACCAUUGCCCAUUGGAUUGCCAUUGCCAAAUUGUGCAUUAUCCGCCGAGUCGGCGUUUUGAUAAAGCAAUAUGCCGUUUUGGCGACUAAGUUAGUCUACGGCUUGAUCUCAUAUUGUACUCAUACGAAGAGACAAUCUAGCAAUUUUCGCAACGUUGGCCAUUGCAGAGUUUCAUGUAUUAAGCUCCGUCGUCGCCUGCCACUAAUCCACUGUCAUUGUCAUGUUGACGUGUUUUUAAUAUAAACUGCCGGGCGGCAAGAUGUCGAUAUUCAGGUCUGACUGGACGGUAUUUUUUCAUCCUCUUGUACCAAAUGUUGCCUCUGCUGUCAUUGGCUUUACAUACACGCCGAGUCGACGUGUUUAUAAUACAAUUGCCGGUUCGGCAAGAUCUCGUGUUCAGGUCUGAUUUCGGUGUUUUUCGACCUUUAUUAAUCCUUUAUAUAUUUUGCCGCUUCGGCGAGAUCUUUCAGUGU